rnacentral:rRNA from 1 species
GCCGCCUGCAGACCAGGUCUGCUCAGGAUGAACGCUGGCGGUAUGCCUAACACAUGCAAGUCGAACGGAAUCUUCGGAUUUAGUGGCGGACGGGUGAGUAACGCGUGAGAAUCUGCCUUCAGGAUGGGGACAACAAUUGGAAACGAUUGCUAAUACCCGAUAUGACGAAAGUUGAAAGAUUUAUCGCCUGGAGAUGAGCUCGCGUCAGAUUAGCUAGAUGGUGGUAACGGCGCACCAUGGCGACGAUCUGUAGCUGGUCUGAGAGGAUGAGCAGCCACACUGGGACUGAGACACGGCCCAGACUCCUACGGGAGGCAGCAGUGGGGAAUUUUCCGCAAUGGGCGCAAGCCUGACGGAGCAAUACUGCGUGAGGGAGGAAGGCUCUUGGGUCGUAAACCUCUUUUCUCAGGGAAGAACAAAAUGACGGUACCUGAGGAAUCAGCAUCGGCUAACUCCGUGCCAGCAGNCGCGGUAAUACGGAGGUUUGAAGCGUUAUCCGGAAUGAUUGGGCG